AGUUCGAUAGCGCAACGGUAUCGCGUCUCUCCCACGAGAGAAAGUUCUCGGUUCGAAUCCGAGUCGAGCUA
rnacentral:tRNA from 1 species